rnacentral:rRNA from 1 species
UACGAGGGGGGCAAGCGUUGUUCGGAAUUAUUGGGCGUAAAGGGUGCGUAGGCGGUUUGGUAAGUCUUGUGUGAAAUCUCCAGGCUCAACUUGGAGUCUGCACGAGAAACUGCCGGGCUUGAGUGUGGGAGAGGUGAGUGGAAUUCCUGGCGUAGCGGUGAAAUGCGUAGAUAUCAGGAGGAACACCGGUGGUGUAAACGGCUUUCUGGACCAUAACUGACACUGAGGCACGAAAGCGUGGGUAGCAAACAGG